rnacentral:rRNA from 1 species
AACGAACGCUGGCGGCAUGCCUAACACAUGCAAGUCGAACGAGACCUUCGGGUCUAGUUGCGCACGGGUGCGUAACGCGUGGGAACCUGCCUUUAGGUUCGGAAUAACUCAGAGAAAUUUGAGCUAAUACCGGAUGAUUUCUUCGGACCAAAGAUUUAUCGCCUUUAGAUGGGCCCGCGUUGGAUUAGCUAGUUGGUGGGGUAAAGGCCUACCAAGGCGACGAUCCAUAGCUGGUCUGAGAGGAUGAUCAGCCACACUGGGACUGAGACACGGCCCAGACUCCUACGGGAGGAAGAAGUGGGGAAUAUUGGACAAUGGGCGAAAGACUGAUACAGCAAGGCCGCGUGAGUGAUGAAGGCCUUAGGGUUGUAAAGCUCUUUUAGCCGAGAUGAUAAUGACAGUAGCGGGAGAAUAAGCGCCGGCUAACUACGUG